UAGGGAAUAUUCGGCAAUGGGGGGAACCCUGACCGAGCAACGCCGCGUGAGUGAAGAAGGUUUUCGGAUCGUAAAGCCCUGUUGUUAAGGAAGAACGAGUGUGAGAAUGGAAAGUUCAUACUGUGACGGUACUUAACCAGAAAGGGACGGCUAACUACGUGCCAGCAGCCGCGGUAAUACGUAGGUCCCGGGCGUUGUCCGGAGUCAUUGGGCGUAAAGCGAGUGCAGGCGGUUAGAUAAGUCUGAAGUUAAAGGCAGUGGCUCAACCAUUGUAGGCUUUGGAAACUGUUGAACUUGAGUGCAGAAGGGGAGAGUGGAAUUCCAUGUGUAGCGGUGAAAUGCGUAGAUAUAUGGAGGAACACCGGUGGCGAAGGCGGCUCUCUGGUCUGAAACUAACGCUGAGGCUCGAAAGCGUGGGGAGCGAACAGG
rnacentral:rRNA from 1 species